rnacentral:rRNA from 1 species
AGGGAUGGGCCUGCGGGCCAUUAGCUUGUUGGUGAGGUAACGGCUCACCAAGGCUGUGAUGGCUAGCUGGUCUGAGAGGAUGACCAGCCACACUGGGACUGAGACACGGCCCAGACUCCUACGGGAGGCAGCAGUGGGGAAUAUUGCGCAAUGGGCGAAAGCCUGACGCAGCGACGCCGCGUGGGUGAUGAAGGCCUUCGGGUCGUAAAGCCCUGUCGCAGGGGAAGAAUAAGCAUCGGUAUAAUACGCCGGUGCCCUGACGGUACCCUGCAAGAAAGCACCGGCUAACUCCGUG